AUAUUAGUUCUCACAUGGAAUGCUUUCAGAAGUCCCAAAUUAAGGCUUGCACGUAUGGGUCGAUUUAGGGAUCAGUACUAAUAAUUAGCGUAGUUGACCAUCCAAUAAAUCAUCGGUUGGUGAGGCAUUUUUGUCCAUUGAGCUGCUCCAAUUAUAAGGUUUCAAUUCGUUUGCCCCCACACUGCUUGCCAUACCAUGCAUGCACGGGCUCGCAUUCAUAAUUGUAUAUCCGGAAGACUCCAUGUUGUAAGCAUCAAGUAACGUGUUCAAUCGUCAACCCCAUGUUGUUAGAAGCAUUCGAAAGGAAGAACAAACAAGCAUAUGGGUCAGGAAUAUUUGCACAAGCUUAUUAGAUAUAAACACACUUGCUGACAUGGUUCCUGUUGAAAUUUCUGAGAAAAAACCUGAUGUAGACCUCACUAUAUUCGAAUAACAAAGUCGUGAAAAAUAGUACAAAAAUUAUCCAUUUUAUUGUUGUCCAAUAUUUAUUUAUUUAUGAAUAUUUGAUGUUUGAGAUUCCAUUUAUUGUGUAGACUGCAGAGCUUUUAAAGAACCUCAGGAUAGCAGUUGAUGUCAAAGUCAUUAACAUAACAUGGAAUGCUUUACACAAAAGCAGAAGUACGACUGAGAAAUCAUACCCAACAGCUAACACCUGGAAAAAAAAACCCUGAUGGUCCAAGUGUGUCAGUAUGUUAGCAAGUAGAAACAGCUUUAAUGCUGAAUGAUUCUUCUGCCAAAAGAAAAUUUUGAUCUUUCAAUAAAGCAAAAGCAACAUACAGAGGCAAGUCAUUGCAAGUAAACUUGUGCACGCUAAAAGCCAAAUCCUGCUUAUCCUUUUCCAGGCUUACACGAUGUUUCAGUUGUUCACUUCCUUUUGUCAAUCUUCCUUUGAAAUCUUCAAACCUAAUCCCUCCCUUCUUUGAGCAAAUCUUGCCGGUCACUAUCCAAUCACAUGUUCUUCCUCCAUUCUCUCUUAAUCUGAUAGUGCCAUAGCUCAUAAAAGAGAGAACAAGUUGUGUAUGUCCCCACUUUGGACAGUAGAACAUUGAGACCAUAGCAGAAAUGCGACAUGGCUUGUAGCUCAGUUAAGGACCCAAGCGAAUCACUAUAGCUCUCAUCAGAUGGCUUCCCUGUUUGUUACUCCUACUUUCACAGUUUGCUGACCUACUUUCACAUGACCGGUCCGACCGUCCCCGAGCAAAAGCUUGGAGCCUCUGCAUUUUCUGAAUGGCUCGCGUGAAAUACUACAGGUUUCCUAGGUCUGGGCUGACUGUGUUGGCAGCCGAGUAUGGUUAUGCUCACCUUCAUACGUCACGAUGAGCAUCGCCGGGUCGUCUACGCACCGCUCGACGUGCUUCCUCGCUGGGCAGCCCCGGACGCUGCUACAUUUGUAGUAACCCCUGCAACGGAUUCGAGCGAUUUAGCGAAGUCGGUCUUCUGUGCAGAUAAAUAAAAUGCGUUGAAGGAGAAAUAAUCAGCAACAUGUGCUUGCUAUCAUGGCAUAGCUACAUUUUCCUAUCAUUAAGUGCAGGCUUUAAAGUUUAGAUGGGGGUGGGGGAUGAGGGCAAUCAAGAUUAGGAUGUAGAUAGACAAGCAUGCUGAUCAAAUCCAUGUUGCAUUAACAAUAUACCUACUUUAGGACACAUGAUUGAUAUUGGUUUUCCACAGAGGAGAGAGUAAAGAAAUAGCAAAAGACUGUCAUGAUCCACUAAUCCACUAAGCUGGUUAUAAUUAAUUGUGCUCGCAACUAAGGUAUCAACACGUCUUGGCUAUAGAUCCACUUGGAAAUUAGGAAAAGGUGGAGUGGAGUGGAGUGGAGUGGA
rnacentral:sRNA from 1 species